rnacentral:misc_RNA from 1 species
AGGAUGGUACCCAUGUAGUGCAAGGAGAAAGAACCAGCUGACGGUCUGUUGAUACCGAUGAUGGUACUCGACAACUGUCAGUUCUUCACGCGCUCUACUAAGGAUAGGAGUAAAUCGGUUAUGCGCUAAAAACGGCGGAGGGUCUUGUGCUGUAAUCGUGCGUUGACACUUGUGCCAAAAUGGAUCAGUUUUAUAGGGGGAGGAGGUUGGGUUUUCCGAAAAGGACUAGUGAACUGAUUGCUCUUAUGGCUCUAUCCACAACAUUGUUUCUAUACAUUCAUACCCGAGAUUUGCAUACCAAACUUAAAGAAAUGGAAGUGAAAAUUCAGCCUGUCAGUAUGGUAUCAGGAAACCAAUUACUCUUAGAUAAUAGUGGUCCAGCGGAAGCUACAGGAGUUAGAGCAACCAUGAAACUACUCGAAAGUACGGGACAAAUGUCCAUGUUACACCCGUCACUGCUAAAUAACACCAGAAAAGCACAAGUCAACACUGUUUUCUUCAACAGAGUGCCAAAAGUUGGAUCACAAACAUUAAUGGAGCUUAUAAGAAGAUUGGGCAUAAGAAAUAAUUUUGGUUUUCAUCAAGAUAUGGUGCAAAGAGUAGAAACUAUUAGACUAUCUCCGGAGGAUCAAGCUAUUUUGGCAGCAUUGGUAUCUAGUUAUGAUCCACCCGGAGUGUACAUCAAGCAUGUUUGUUUUACUAAUGUUUCAAGUUUCGGAUUACCAGAACCAAUUUACAUUAAUUUGGUUCGAGAUCCUGUUGAACGUGUGAUAUCAUGGUACUACUAUGUGCGAGCCCCUUGGUAUUAUGUCGAACGAAAGAUUGCUUUUCCUGAUAUACCACUGCCUGAUCCGAAAUGGUUGAAAAAGGAUUUUGAGGAAUGUGUCUUAUCUGGGGACCGGGAAUGCAGAUACCUAAGAGGAGAAAUAAGGGAAGGUAUUGGUGAUCACAGACGUCAGUCGAUGUUCUUCUGCGGUCACCAUCCUGAUUGCCUACCUUUCAAUACACAAGGAGCCUUAGAACGCGCAAAAAGGGCAGUCGAGAGGAAUUAUGCUGUUGUAGGUGUAUUGGAAGAUUUAAAUACCACUUUAACAGUCUUAGAACAUUACGUCCCUCGAUUUUUCAAAGGAGCUACUGAUGUUUAUUACAAUGAAAUAAGUCGCUACCAUCCCAUCAACAAAAACAACUUCAAGCCACCCGUUAGCGAAGAAAUUAAAGAGUUGGUGAGAAAGAACUUUACGAAAGAAAUCGAAUUUUACGAGUUUUGCAAACAGAGACUACAUAAGCAGUAUUUAGCCCUAAAGCUUCCAGAUGCCGGCACUUAAAUGGUUGUAAUUUUGUGUAAUUUAUUAGUGCUUUAAAGGAAAUGUUGAUCUGAUAUUGUACAUAUUUAUAGCAUUAGAGCACAGUAUAACUGCUGUGAUUAUAGCUUUCUUAGAAAACAAAAAGAAUUGGAAAUACUUUCAACCUUUCUGUUGUUGACUGCGUGAUUUGUGACGUUAUUUAUAGAAGAUAAAAUCAAUUCUAAUAACAGUAAAAUGUUGUUAUUUUCUAUGUUGUACGUUAUUGUUCUAAAUUCAAUAUUCUAUUAGAUUUUAAAAGGUUGUGUUAAUUUUAAACGUUACUGUCCAGUGACGCUGCGUGAGCAAUAAGCAGGAAAUACUAAUAAUAGUUUGGAUUUAAUAGUUUGAAAACUGGAAUAUUUGGGUCACAUUACCAGAGAAGAAAAAUAUGAGUUGAUGAGAAUUAUUAUGCAAGAAGCAUAGAAUCAAAAGAAGAAGAAGCAUAGGAAGAAGACGAAUCUCCUGGCUGAGGAAUCUUAGAUAAUGGUUUAACUGUAGUGCAUUACAACUGUUCAGAGCAGCAGGAAGCAAAGUGACCAUAGCUACUAUGAUAUCCAACCUCCGAUAGGACAUGAAACUUUCAGAAGAAGAAGUUAGAACUAAUAGUUUGGUAUAAUAACUACAAAAACGUGUACAAAUACAACAGUAUCUUCUACAAAAAUAAGCUAAUAAAUUCUUAAACCUGAAACCACAAGUUGGGGUAACUGAGACACUAAUUACAAUGUGGAGUCGCCGGUGACCCAUUCUUAAAAUCGCUUCAAAUUUAACUUGGAAAAAAUUUUACUAUUUCAAUUGAGAUUUUGGAAAACAUAAAAACGAAUGCUGAAUAAAACAAUGAAAGAUAAAUCUAAAGCGUCGUUUAAACACAACGAUAAGUCACAGCAACUAGUUGUGAUGACAAGUUGAAACGCUGUUUAGACGCUGCGAUUCAAUGCGAUACCACCUUCAACCCAACUCCAACUUUGAUAAGUUGUGCGAUGCACCGUUUACACACAAUGAUAAGUUGCAACAACUCGAUUGACCUUGAUAAGUUGUUUGAUUUAUCGCUGUGUUUAAACGACCCUUAAGAUUAAAAUUUACAACGUAAUAGUAGAGAGAUCUUGCACCUCUUAUUUUGCAAUUCCGUUAUUAGUGCAGUCACUGAAGGUGGAUAUGAGCUAUUACCUCCGAUUACGUUGAACCUCCAUCGAUUUGCAUGAAAAUUGGUAAGUGGUUAGAGGAUAUCUCAAGGAACAAAGGUGACAUGCUGCCAACUUGCGCUUUUACCCUGGGGGUGGAUGCCAUCCCUCCUCGGGGGUGAAAAUUAUUUUAUUAAAAAUAACCCCACAAUUCGAUAGAGGGACAAAUUAUAAGCAAAAUUUUUUAUAUAAAUUUAUUAAAAUAAAUCAAUACUUUUUGAGUUAUUAAAGAUCAAAGAUUUUAAUUUUUCGUGAGAAAAAUGUAUGUUUUUAACCGAUUUUUCAUAAAUAACUCAAAAACUAUAAGUUUUUGCAAAAAAGUUAUUAUUAUCAAAAUUGAGGCUAAUAAAAAAUCAAAUAAACUCCUUACUAGAAAAACAUUUCAAUGUUAACUAAAAGUGAAUUAUAGGUAAUUGAAUGUAUAUUUCUUUCGCUGAGUACCCAAAUCUAAGUAUUCAAGCUUAAAUACAGGGAAAAUGGUGCAUUUUAUAACAUAAACUUAUUAAACAUUUGUCAAAGUUCAUAGAAAUAUUUAUCAAAUAAUAUCGAACAUGUUGAUAGCAUUAAAAUUUAUGCACCAAAAAUGUUUCAAAAUGUAUCUUUUAAAAAUUUUUCCAAAAAAUGUUAUUGUUUUUUUUUUGUAAAUAACUCCGUUAAUUCUUAAGAUAUAAGGUUCAUCUAAAAACUAAUUAAAAGUUCAUUCCAAGAGCUAUUUAAAAAAGUCAAAAUUAGUCUUUUAAACCUCUAACUUUUAAAAAAUAAAAGUUUAUAUGGCCCCGGUUACAUAGUUCUCGCAGCAAAAUUGAAAUAUUAAACGUUUCUAUCUCGGUUAUUUUUUACUCUACGGAAAUAGUAAAAUGGAUAAAGUAUUUGGAACAGAAAAAACUAAAAUUUAGUUAUAAAUGAGUUUUUACGUAUAUUGAGUAUUUUUGGACUUAUUAUCAAAAGAAAAUGAAAAGUACGAUAAUUUUAAAAAUUCUGAUUUUUUUAAAUUAUACCUUUUUUUCAAAAAUAUGUAUUCUAAACCGGUCAAAAUUAUUGAAAUCAUUAACUAUGUUAACCUAAAGAAAUUCUUGUGAGUAUUACUACAAAUUUUAAUUUUUGUGGAAAUGGCGUAUGUUUUAUUUUUCACUUUUUGCUAAAAAAAAUCGAAAGGGUUGUCUUAUUUUCAUCAUAACUUGCUUAAUUUUGAUGCUAUUAGCUUCUACUGGAGCUCAUUUGAUAGGUAUUCCGAACUACUUUGACAAGUGUUUAACAAGUAUAUUAUAUAAAAUGCAUGGUUUUCCCGUUAUGUAAGCUUGAAUACUUAGAUUUGAGUACUCGUCGAAAAAAAUAUACAUUCAAUUACCCAUAACUCACUUUGAAAUAACAUUAAUUUAGUUGUUUAAGUGGGGAGUGUAUUAAAUUUUUUAUUACCUUUAAUUUUGGUAAUAAUAUCCUUUUUAAAAAAGGUUAUAGUUUUUGAGUAAUACGUGAAAAACAGCUUUAAAACAUGCAUUUUUUUUUUAAGAAAAAAUAAAAUUUUUGAUAUUAUUUUAAUAACUCAAAAACAAAUUUUGCUUAGAAAAUGCUCAUCUAUCGAUUUCUGGUAUUAUUUUUAAUAAAAAUAUUUCACCCCCGAGAAGGGGUGGCAUCCACUUCCAGGGUAAACGCGCAAGUUGGCAUCAUGUUACCUUUGUUCCUUGAAGUACCUUCUAACUACUCACCAAUUUUCAUGAAAAUCGAUGAAGGUUCAACGAAAUCGGAGGUGAAAACCUUCAGUGACUCCACUAUAUGGUUAUCGUUAUACUACGUCUGCGCAGUAGCGAAUAUAUGAUCCGUUAUCGUUAUUAAACAUAAGGGAUUCCGUAAUUUACGGAGGUUUAAAGUAGUGCUUAUCGUUAUCGUUAUAGUAAUGGUUAAAUUGCUUUGUUGCCAGAAUGUAAAAAAAUCAGUAAAAUUACAUUUACAUAAAUUCUAAUUUUGAUCACCUAUAAAUUAAAAUAUCAGAAACUGUUCAAGUAUAUGCUUAAAAUUACAAUAACGUUGUGAAGUGAGGUUAUGUUUAAAUAACGAUAACGAUGACACGAAAAACCUACUUGACAGGCUGCAAAACUCUGCUUUUUAACGUUGCCGUAAUCGUUAUGCUUAAUAAAGUUAACCAUAGCGGAGCCAAAAUCAGCGGUUAGUUUAAGAGGUGCAAAAUCUCUCUAUUGAAGUAAAAUUCUUUAAAAAUUAUCCAAGAGGUUAUGGAUUUAUCAUACAACUAAUAUUGUUGUCUAUGUAGUAUUAAAGAUUCUUUGUUUUUAACAUAUUAUACAUAUAUAAGCUUUCUUAUUUAAUUUAAACUUCCUUAAGAAUCUAUUGCAAAAUUCAUCAGAGUUAUUUAUUUCUUUACCAGAUUUCUCUCUCUAAUCACAUUAUUUAUAUAAAUUCAUUUUACGUGACUAGCGGUUAUGGCGGAUAAGACAAUUAUGUCGGUAUUUUGAGUAUUUGCGAUCUAGUUGGAUUUGUGGUUACUAUUCUAUGGUCUACCUAAUUAUACAUAUAAAACAAACAGUUUUUUCACUAUAAACUAUUCUAGUGUGAAGAUGAGUUACCAUUCGUGGGAAAGGUAUUUUAAAGAUCUUUACUACACAAUUGUGUAUACAGGGUUGACAUAAAAUUUGGAACUAAGUAAAUACUUAUCUUGAAAAUGAAGAUCGGACUAGGAUAGGAAGAACUACGAUGACCCUCAACGCAUCUCACGCCAUAUUUUUUGUUACCGUUGGCAGAUUUUAAAAUAAAUUGUUAUUCCUCAUUCAUACAUACCAAGUUUGGGAGAAAAUAGUUGUUAAAACGAGAUAUAAAUCAUUUUGAAGUUACAGAAUAGGUUAUUUUAUUUAGGUACGAGACUAAUAUAUAAAAAUACGUGAUUUUAGAUAACCACAGAAAAGACGUAACGGGUUAAGGUCCGGAAAACGAUCAGGACCCCGAUUUUUGACCCUUCGCUUCGCUAUCGAUUAUUCGCUAUCUGCACACUAAACAGAUACGAAGCGAACACGUUCGAUAACGAAGCGAAGGGUCAAAAAUCGAGAUCCAGGCCAUUUUAGAAUCCUCAUAUGUCAAAUCCAUCGCGAAUGCGAUAAAUCUUCUUCUUCUUAUUCUUUUUGUAUAGACGUUACUCUGUCUGUUUUUCAAUGUGCCUCCAGUAAAUUGUCAUUCCAUCUUUUUCGUGGUCUUCCCACUGAUCGUCUUCCUAUUGGGGAACCGCCUCUCGCCGUCCUUACUACUCUAUUUGUUGUCAUUCGGCUUAUGUUGUCGUUCCAUUCUACUCUUCUGCUUUUCAUCCAGUUAUUAAUGUUGACCACCUUGCAUCUCCUUCGUAUAUCUGCACUUCUAGCUCUAUCCCACAUCGUCGUUUUCAUCUCUGCCGUUUCUAGCAUUCUUUUUGUCUUUUCUGUGUAUCAGGUCGUGUUUCUGCCGUAUAUGUCAUUAUUGGUCUGAUGACUGUUUUGUAAAUUCUGCCUUUCACUUUUUUUCCGAUGUUUUUAUUUCCCCAUAUUGUUUCAUUCAGGCAACCUGCGGCUCUGUUUGCUUUAUUCACCUGAUCUUCCACUUCUGUUUCGAACUUUCCGUAGCUACAUAGUGUGAUGCCUAGAUCUUUCAACUCCAUGACUUGUUCUAUUAUUUGAUCUUCCAGCUCUAAUUUACACCUUUUUAGAUCUGCUGUUAUAACCAUGCAUUUUGUCUUUUUUGGGGAAAUUGACAUGUUAAAUUUUCUAGCGGUUAUAUUAAAUUCGUACAGCAUACGUUGUAAAUCAUCUUCACUUUGAGAGAUUAGUAUUGGUCUGCGUAGCAGAUUAUUUUAAGUUGUUUUUCUCCCAUUUGGUAUCCUUUUUUUGUUCUUACUUUUUUAUUAUUUCGUCCAUGAUCAGGUUGAACAACAGAGGACUCAUGGAAUCUCCCUGUCUUAUCCCAUUGCCAGCUUCAAUUGGGUCAGUUAGUUCUUUAUCUACUUUUACUUUUAUUGUGUUGUUCCUGGAGGUACCUCUCUAGCGUACAAUAAAUGGAUAACGUCCUUUAAUUUGACCCUGUCAAAUGUCUUCUUAAGGUCCACGAAACAUAAGUAUGCCGGUUUAUUGUAUUCUAACGAUUUUUCUUUAAUCUGCCUCAUUAUAAAUAUAGCGUCGGUGCAUGAUCUUCCCGACCUAAAACCUUGUUGUUCUUCUGCUAAUGUUAUAAUUUUAUUCAGUUUGUUUGUUAUCACUUUGGUCGUUAAUUUUAGUGUUGUGUUUAAUAAAUUAAUUCCUCUGUAAUUCUCCGGGUCCGAUUUUUCUCCCUUUUUGAACAGAGGUAUUAGAAAGCUUGAUCUCCAUUCUUGUGGUAUUCUGUUUUGUUCUAUUAUUUUUUGGAUUAGUUUUAAUAAUUGUUUGGUCAUGUCUUGUCCUCCAUACUUUAGGAGUUCAUUCGAUAUUCUGUCCUCUCCUGGUGAUUUUCUAUUUUUUAAUUUCCUUAAUGCUUCCGUUACCUCUGCUUCUUCAAUAUUUGUUUCUUUGUUUGUUGUCACUUCAGGUGUUGGUAGUUCGUUAUCGUUAUCUUUAGCAAACAGAGAUCGAAAAUAGUCUGCCCAAGUUUCCUUCUGAAUGUGUUUCGUUUUUAUUAGUUCGUUCAUCUCUUUUCUUUGUCCUCUGAUCAUUCUCCAUAUUUCCUUUUGUGUUCCGUAGAAGUCGUGUUCCAUCUGUUUUGAGAAACUCUCCCAGUGUUCUCUUUUUAUUUGUCUGACUAGAGUGUUAGCUUCGUUUCUAAUUCUUUUAUAGUGGUUGUAUGCCUGUUGUGUUUGUUGUGUUCUGUAUUGUAAAAAGGCUUUCUUCUUUUCUUUGCCUUUUAUCUUCACUUCCUCUCGAAACCAUGGGGUUUUCUUUUUUGAUAUAUUGGUAUUCGUUACUUUCCUCUCUCCAAGUGAUUCUGUUGCUGCGUUAAUUAUGUUACUUUUGAGUUUUUCCCAGCUUUCCUCGAUUUUAUCGCUUUCUAGUAUGUCAUUAUCAGAAAUCUUCUCUGAUAUUCUUUUUCUAUAUAAGUAGGUACUCCGUGGAUUCCGUACUUAGUCCUUCGACUUUGAUUUUUGUUUGUGUUGGUGCCACUCUCUUAGGUUUGAAAAAUUUCAUGGUGAUUCUAAUUUUACAUAAUACUAGGCUGUGGUCACUACCUACAUCUGCUGAGUUGAGGCAUCUUACGUUAAUUAUUUUUGAUGGAUGGAUAUCUCUGUUAGUUACAACAUAAUCUAUUAUAGAUCUUUGUCCACGGGUAUUAUUGAAUGUAUAUUUGUGUUGGUCUUUGUGGUCAAAAAGUGUUGUUUAUUCAAAGUUCGUUAUACGUGCAGAAGUUUAUCAUCAGUUCUCCAUUUUCGUUUUUGACAUUCUCAGUAUGCUUUUGUUUAUUUCCAGGUAUUACUUGGUUGCCUAUUCGAGCGUUAAAAUCCCCCAGUAUUAUCAACUUUUCUCUAACUUGAUCUACUACUUGUUGCAAUUGAUCAUAGAAUAUUUCCUUUGUUGUUUGGGGCUUACUAUUUUCUGGGCCGUAUACUCCGAUGAUGUUCAGGUCUUCUUUCUCCAUUCUAAUUUUUGCUGUGACAAUCCUUUCUGAUACAUAUUGACACUCUUUGAUGUUAUUUUGGUAUCUUUGGUGUAUUAGUAAGGCUACACCCUCUUUGGCCCUGUUUUCUUUUGCUACUCCACUGUAGAUUAGUAUAUAUUCGCCUAAUUUUGACUGGCCUUUUCCUUUCUUUUUGGUCUCCUGUAGAGCGCAUAUAUCUAUUUUUUUUUCUUUUUUAGCUCUUGGGUUAUUUCUUGAUCUCUAGUGUUGAGCGAUCUUAUGUUCCAAGUGCUUAUUCUCAUCUGGAUUUUGGAGGUUUUUCUCGUGUCCUUAUUUCUUGCCGUGGUCGUCUUCGUAUUAUCAAUCCGGUUUCGAGGCUUCACGAUAAAUUGCAUUCAGAAAAUCUCUAACCCGUCGAAUAGUAGUCAGGUAGCUCUCCAUCUCGUUAAAAGCAAAAAUUUUGUAGUAACUGGCCAUUUGUUGAAAUAUUAGUAGAAAUAAUUUGGUUAUUACGUAAAUCUAGGUAAAUACUUGUCACAAGUUAAAUGAGCGUAAAACCAUUUUUGGACAAUUUCCAUCCAAACAUUUAACUUUUUUGGUUGCUGCUCAAUUAAUGUUCCAGUUAAAUGUUGCAUUAAAAAAAUUUCUUCAUCGGAAAACACUAUAAUAUUAGUAUUCAGUUCAUGUUUAUCGUAUCAAGAAGCGUAUAGUACAGUUUGAAAUAGUAGUUAAUUUGUAUACGUACUUCUUUACCUAUGACAAGUUUUGGACAUUCUAGUGGUGAUGAACUUUCCGAUGACACUGCGAUAAUAAUCAGUUGGUGAUAAAUCUGUCUUUGGUACUCAUUGAUUACCAAAAUUUCAAGUUUCUUAAUGUUCCCUUCUAAUCUUCUUUCUAAAUCAUUUUCAUUUUUGUUCAUUUUCACAUCCUUUGGUCAAUUUUUUUGGGAAAUAAAUUUUGUGGUAUUUUUCAUCUGACUUUCUAUUAAGUUUCUUUGUUAAAUCUCCAAGACUGCUUCGUCUCCAGGCUAAAAUUCGAAUGCCUCCCGGUCUUUCCCAUUGAUGAUGAAAAGUUUCUUUAAUUGAUCUUGAAGGACCUUUCUGGUAGCACCCAAAUGUUACUUGCCUAGCCAUUCAGAGACUUCUUCCUUUUCAUACAUUACCUCUAUGAUCUGUGUAUACUGGUAAUAUUUAUUCUUAUUUAUGAUUCCGAAGAGCAGCUCUCUUGCCAUUUCUGUGGUGGUCUUUCCAGGAGCCUUCUUCCGUUUGUUUUCCCCUUGAAGUUUGUCAUACUUUUUAUUCGUUAAAUAUUUCUUUAGCUUCCCCUAAAAAGGUGUUUUCUACUCUUCAGUUCAUAUCUCCCAUAAGAAUUAUCUUGUCCAGCUCAUCUUGUAGUUGUUUGCAAAAUACUUCGAAUUCUUCUAUUGGCUGAGUGGCAUCAGGUGCGUAAGUGACUAUAAGAUCCAGUAAUAUUUCAUUUUCUAUUUUAAGUGUUAAAAUAAAUAUUCUGUCGUAAACUAUAAUCAACGGUAAAAUAGGAAAUACAUCUACAUAAUUUUGUGUAGAUAAAGAACUCAAAUAAUAAUGUCCUCUAUAUCAAACACUAUGCACUAUUACAAACAAAAUGCUAUGAUAUUAUUAUACCGUUUGAAUACAAUGAUUACAGCAUUUUACUGUUUACUAUUGAUUUUAAUAUCUAUUAGGCUAUAUUAUAAUAUGUUGCUUUUUACCAUCACAAAAAUGUAGACUUAACCAAAAUCACAGGAGUAACUAAUAUCACCCAUUGACCAAACGCAAAAUAUUGCUUGUGUUGGAGUUUUGAUAGUUGAAGUAGGCAUACAUAUAUGUAUGUGUUUGAUGUUUUGCCAUAGAAUAAAAAAUAAUUUAUUGUUAUUAUAUAUAAUGUUACUCCUAAACUAUAUAGCUAUAAUAAUCAUGUAGACUAAAAAAUCACCUUUUGUAACUAAUAAAUUGAUGACUGUGACUGAAAUAAAGUAGAAUAGAAUUUGA